GAAUUCUUGGGAGCUACACGAACGUCUGGACUACCUGAGGAGUAUAAUAACGUGAAGAUCUUCCCAGACUUUUCAACCUACACUAAGAAGAAACAUAGGGAGUUCCAACCCUUCACAUCCAAACUUCGUUGCAGGAAUAUCAGGUUGGGUUUCUCAAUCAAAGUGCUGUUUUGGAUGGAUGACCAAAACUGCAUCAUCACCUCUCCAGAAGGAGGUAUGGAACUCAGACCCAUACUUUAUCCCCAUCUAUGCCUGCACCUUACAGAAUGAGGAGCAAGCAUGAUUCUUAUGAUGAACCAUGAUCCCUGAAUCCCGUCUGCUGUUCCUGGUUUCUAAUUCAAGUAGGCGUCCCUUUCUUUGGUCCUGGUUCUUCACUUUUUUUCUUCUUCUUCUGAGGUUCCAGAAUGCUGCUUCCUGAUGUCCGGCUGAGGAGUUUUGCAUAUAUUCUGCUCGUAUGAUUAUUUCUGUUUUUUGGAUUUACUACGAUGAUUCACUCUUUGGAUACUGCUUCCUGUCUCCGGACUCUGUCCCUAGUUUGUUUUUACCACAAACUAUAACUUUUUCUGACUUUAAUUUUUUCUUUUGUCUUUGAGACCUUCCC